rnacentral:rRNA from 1 species
UACGUAGGGUGCGAGCGUUGAUCGGAAUUAUUGGGCGUAAAGCGUGCGCAGGCGGCUUUGCAAGUCAGAUGUGAAAUCCCCGGGCUUAACCUGGGAACUGCAUUUGUGACUGCAUGGCUGGAGUGCGGCAGAGGGGGAUGGAAUUCCGCGUGUAGCAGUGAAAUGCGUAGAUAUGCGGAGGAACACCGAUGGCGAAGGCAAUCCCCUGGGCCUGCACUGACGCUCAUGCACGAAGGCGUGGGGAGCAAACAGG